rnacentral:rRNA from 1 species
GACAGAGGGUGCAAACGUUGUUCGGAAUUACUGGGCGUAAAGCGCGUGUAGGCUGCUUCGCAAGUCGGAUGUGAAAGCCCUGGGCUCAACCCAGGAAGUGCAUUCGAAACUGCAGAGCUGGAGUCCUGGAGAGGAAGGCGGAAUUCUCGGUGUAGAGGUGAAAUUCGUAGAUAUCGAGAGGAACACCGGUGGCGAAGGCGGCCUUCUGGACAGUGACUGACGCUGAGACGCGAAAGCGUGGGAGCAAACAGG